rnacentral:rRNA from 1 species
ACUAAAUAGAUACCCGGGUAGUCCACGCCGUAAACGAUGAUUACUCGCUGUUGGCGAUACACUGUCAGCGGCUAAAGCAAAAAAAAGCAAUAAGUAAUCCACCUGGGGAGUACGGCCGCAAGGUUGAAACUCAAAGGAAUUGACGGGGGCCCGGCACAAGCGGAGGAACAUGUGGUUUAAUUCGAUGAUACGCGAGGAACCUUACCUGGGCUUAAAUGUAGAGUGCAUUUUCUAGAGAUAGGAAUUCCCUUCGGGGCGUUUCUGCAAGGUGCUGCAUGGUUGUCGUCAGCUCGUGCCGUGAGGUGUCGGGUUAAGUCCCAUAACGAGCGCAACCCUUAUCGUUAGUUGCCAUCUGGUAAAGCAGGGGACGUCUAGCGAAACUGCCACCGUAAGGUGAGAGGAAGGUGGGGAUGACGUCAAAUCAGCACGGCCCCGUUAUGUCCAGGGCUACACACGUGUUACAAUGGUCGGUACAGAGGGCAGCUACCUGGUGACAGGAUGCUAAUCUCGAAAACCCGGGUCUCAGUUCGGAUCGAAGUCUGCAACUCGACUUC